rnacentral:rRNA from 1 species
CGCUUUUUCUUUCACCGGAGCUUGCUCCACUCGAAAGAAAAGGAGUGGCGAACGGGUGAGUAACACGUGGGUAACCUGCCCAUCAGAAGGGGAUAACACUUGGAAACAGGUGCUAAUACCGUAUAACAAUCGAAACCGCAUGGUUUCGGUUUGAAAGGCGCUUUUGCGUCACUGAUGGAUGGACCCGCGGUGCAUUAGCUAGUUGGUGAGGUAACGGCUCACCAAGGCAACGAUGCAUAGCCGACCUGAGAGGGUGAUCGGCCACAUUGGGACUGAGACACGGCCCAAACUCCUACGGGAGGCAGCAGUAGGGAAUCUUCGGCAAUGGACGAAAGUCUGACCGAGCAACGCCGCGUGAGUGAAGAAGGUUUUCGGAUCGUAAAACUCUGUUGUUAGAGAAGAACAAGGAUGAGAGUAAAAUGUUCAUCCCUUGACGGUAUCUAACCAGAAAGCCACGGCUAACUACGUGCCAGCAGCCGCGGUAAUACGUAGGUGGCAAGCGUUGUCCGGAUUUAUUGGGCGUAAAGCGAGCGCAGGCGGUUUCUUAAGUCUGAUGUGAAAGCCCCCGGCUCAACCGGGGAGGGUCAUUGGAAACUGGGAAACUUGAGUGCAGAAGAGGAGAGUGGAAUUCCAUGUGUAGCGGUGAAAUGCGUAGAUAUAUGGAGGAACACCAGUGGCGAAGGCGGCUCUCUGGUCUGUAACUGACGCUGAGGCUCGAAAGCGUGGGGAGCAAACAGGAUUAGAUACCCUGGUAGUCCACGCCGUAAACGAUGAGUGCUAAGUGUUGGAGGGUUUCCGCCCUUCAGUGCUGCAGCUAACGCAUUAAGCACUCCGCCUGGGGAGUACGACCGCAAGGUUGAAAC